UACGGAGGGGGUUAGCGUUGUUCGGAAUUACUGGGCGUAAAGCGCGCGUAGGCGGAUCAGAAAGUUGGGGGUGAAAUCCCGGGGCUCAACCUCGGAACUGCCUCCAAAACUCCUGGUCUUGAGUUCGAGAGAGGUGAGUGGAAUUCCGAGUGUAGAGGUGAAAUUCGUAGAUAUUCGGAGGAACACCAGUGGCGAAGGCGGCUCACUGGCUCGAUACUGACGCUGAGGUGCGAAAGUGUGGGGAGCAAACAGG
rnacentral:rRNA from 1 species